UCCUCUGUAGUUUACCAGGUUAGUUUAAUUUCCUCUGUAGUUUACCAGGUUAGUUUCCUCUGUAGUUUACCAGGUUAGUUUCCUCUGUAGUUUACCAGGUUAGUUUCCUCUGUAGUUUACCAGGUUAGUUUCCUCUGUAGUUUACCAGGUUAGUUUCAUUUCCUCUGUAGUUUACCAGGUUAGUUUCCUCUGUAGUUUACCAGGUUAGUUUCCUCUGUAGUUUACCAGGUUAGUUUCCUCUGUAGUUUACCAGGUUAGUUUCCUCUGUAGUUUACCAGGUUAGUUUCCUCUGUAGUUUACCAGGUUAGUUUAAUUUCCUCUGUAGUUUACCAGGUUAGUUUCCUCUGUAGUUUACCAGGUUAGUUUAAUUUCUUCUGCAGUUUACCAGGUUAGUUUCAUUUCCUCUGUAGUUUACCAGGUUAGUUUCAUUUCCUCUGUAGUUUACCAGGUUAGUUUCAUUUCCUCUGUAGUUUACCAGGUUAGUUUCAUUUCCUCUGUAGUUUACCAGGUUAGUUUCAUUUCCUCUGUAGUUUACCAGGUUAGUUUCAUUUCCUCUGUAGUUUACCAGGUUAGUUUCCUCUGUAGUUUACCAGGUUAGUUUCAUUUCCUCUGUAGUUUACCAGGUUAGUUUCCUCUGUAGUUUACCAGGUUAGUUUCAUUUCCUCUGUAGUUUACCAGGUUAGUUUCCUCUGUAGUUUACCAGGUUAGUUUCAUUUCCUCUGUAGUUUACCAGGUUAGUUUCAUUUCUUCUGUAGUUUACCAGGUUAGUUUAAUUUCUUCUGUAGUUUACCAGGUUAGUUUCAUUUCCUCUGUAGUUUACCAGGUUAGUUUCAUUUCCUCUGUAGUUUACCAGGUUAGUUUCAUUUCCUCUGUAGUUUACCAGGUUAGUUUCCUCUGUAGUUUACCAGGUUAGUUUCAUUUCCUCUGUAGUUUACCAGGUUAGUUUCCUCUGUAGUUUACCAGGUUAGUUUCCUCUGUAGUUUACCAGGUUAGUUUCCUCUGUAGUUUACCAGGUUAGUUUCCUCUGUAGUUUACCAGGUUAGUUUCCUCUGUAGUUUACCAGGUUAGUUUCCUCUGUAGUUUACCAGGUUAGUUUCAUUUCCUCUGUAGUUUACCAGGUUAGUUUCCUCUGUAGUUUACCAGGUUAGUUUCCUCUGUAGUUUACCAGGUUAGUUUCAUUUCCUCUGUAGUUUACCAGGUUAGUUUCCUCUGUAGUUUACCAGGUUAGUUUCAUUUCCUCUGUAGUUUACCAGGUUAGUUUCAUUUCCUCUGUAGUUUACCAGGUUAGUUUCAUUGAGAUU